UAUAGGAUAUCCCAAAAGUUAGUUAUGCCAAUAUGUAUGCAUAUAUGAAAUUAUUUAUUCCAUUAUUAAACGUGAAAUAAAUAAUUUUAUAUUUUAUUUCGAAAUUAUUAUUUCCCAAACAACCCUUCAUAGUGAUGAAACUCAGUUCUCUAGUCUGAACAUAUUUCUAUGACCUUUGAAUUCCACAGAUUUAAGAAUCCUGUAUCUGUUUUGUUUCCAGCUUAGGAAAAUGAGAAUUACACUUAAUUUGUUAAAAAAAUUUAAUCAAAUCAUUCACUUUGUGCGUGAGCUGGGUAUAUAUAUUGACUAUUAUUAACCAAUUAAAGUAAUUUUUGGUCAUUUGAUUUCAGAUAUGUGCAGUAAAUCAAAUUCUGAGUUCUUCUGAAGAUUUAUUUGGAGAUUCAUAUAGCAUUUUCCCUCCAGAAACUUGCUGUGUCAAAUUUUGAGUGGACGGACAUCUAGCUCGAUAUGAUUUGUGAGACCAUUUCUCCACCUCCCUUUUGGUGCGUUAUUAGAGAGCUCAUUUAGCGUGUUGCUCUCUCAAUCAAAAUGAAAGCAAUCAAGAUAAGUCAACUUAAGGCUCCAUCUAUCACUUGCAUCAUUUUCUCAAGGUCAUAAUUUAGAACUUUCAAAGUUCUGUUGUUGCCUGCUAUCCAACAUGCUUCUAUUAAAUCACUUGUACUAACUCCUACUUGGUGGUGCUAUCUCAGACUAGUUCAGAAGCCUGGUAAUUGAAGUCCCACUUUACCAUGACAAGUUGGGUCCAACUAGGAGGUUUUCUGAAUUAUAUUAAAAAUGUAAGAUACCUAUUCUUCGUGUGAACAACAAGACUAGACAAGUCAACAUUAUGAAUAGUAUUCAUAUGGACAGCAUAGGAGAAGACAUGCUCGAUGGAGUGCUCAACAAAAGGGUGCAUGUCAUUGAGCAGUGACAGUGAAUCAAAACAAAAUUUGAUCCAGGUUUUUAACCUUUGAAAUGAGUCUUUUAAACUACAUAUUGCAUUAGCACUGUCAGCAUUUCUCUUUUCCGCACAAGCGAAACAACUCCAGGUAAAGUGAUAUGGAAUAUGGAGCAAGUACCAUCACAAAGCCUUUGGUUUCAGGAAGAGCAAUUUUCUGAGAUGAGAAAUAUCAUAACAACCUUUUGAGUUUCCAUAUGGAAGGAGGUUCCACUAAGGUUCAGGUAUACGUUAUCCUUUUCCCUUGCGAAAAAUAAACUGGUUGUAUCUUCUUUGCUGAUGCUUUACUAGUGUACCGUACAAUUUUUGAAUUCUAAUUUGCCAUAUGGAGCUUUCCCCUCGCACACCUAAUUUUGUCAGUUGGUUUAAUGACGUAAAAAACAUCUGUUUAUCUUUGGUUAACUUACACAAAGCAGGUGAUUCAAUUAAUUUGAGCUUUGGUUGAGUUUCAGGGAGUCUUGGUUCAUAGCUCUAAUCAAUAUUCUGAUUGAUUGGCUGUUUCAAAUUGUGCUAACUGUUUUUUAAUAUUAGCCCAAUUUAAGGUUAAGGUAGAAGUGGUGUUCAUUUCAGCAGAGCUAGGGAACAAUCACAAAGUAAAAGCAGAAGAGCAAUUAGUUGAAAUAGAAGAACCAAACUAGAUUUCUUGUUGGGGUUAAUAGAGACUACAACUUUGUUCCGCAAACUCAGUCUGCACUGCACUGUACAAGUUACUUCUAUCCUCCUAAACACUGAAUCAGCAGGUGUUUUUCUGUAUACAAGCAAAAAAUAAACCCAAAUGAUUGUUGUCAGUCCCCAUUUUUAACAUCCCCCACCUACCUAUAUCACUACUACUCUGUAGUUAGCUAAAACCUCUCCUUUUCCUAAUCUUGAACUAAUCAGACUUCCAAAAGCCAUGAUUAUCUACUGAGCUGCUAAAAAAGAUUCACAAAAACCAGCCAGAGAAAAUACAAAUAGAAGCACCAUAGCAUUAUUCAGUUGAUCUUGAUUCCCGAGACACCAAUAUCUACUUCUCAAAUAUAUUAAUGGCUUAGGUUGUAGGAGCUUCUUUAGCUGCUUCAACAAAAGGUGACUGUACACUAUCCUCCUCAUCAGAAUCACUCCCAGAAGAACUUCCUGAAUCUGAAUCUGCAAAUGUCAAUCAUGGCAAAAGUAAAUAUACCACCCCUCGCACUUGUUCACCAAAAUGAACUACAGGGGGGGAGAAAAAGUUAUACCACUGGAAGAAGAAUCACUGCCAGAACUUGAUCCUCCACUAGAACUGCUUGACCCACCACUCUCACAUGGGACAUCCUUGUCAAUCUGCACAGGAGGAAAGCUUUCACCUGGGAUUUCCUCA